UACCUCAAGUCAAGACCUGCGCGUG
rnacentral:piRNA from 1 species